rnacentral:rRNA from 1 species
GACAGAGGUGCCGAGCGUUGUUCGGAAUUACUGGGCGUAAAGCGCGCGCAGGCGGCUUCUUAAGUCCAUCGGUGAAAUGCCGGGGCUCAACCCCGUUGCAGGCCGAGGAUACUGGGAGGCUGGAGACGAGUAGAGGCAAGCGGAAUUCCGGGUGUAGCGGUGGAAUGCGUAGAGAUCCGGAAGAACACCGGAGGCGAAGGCGGCUUGCUGGGCUUGGUCUGACGCUGAGGCGCGAAAGCGUGGGGAGCGAACAGG